GAGAUCUCAGUCUUCCGUGCUGUCUCAUCCAAUGGCCACGAUGACUUUUCACAUUCCAUUUAAAAAUGUCCAAACACCACCCAAGCAACCUUAGACUGUUCACUUCACUUCAUCGUCUCAGACCUAAAAUCCUAACCCGCCACCUUCAAAUUCCACCAUUUCCACUGGCCACCGGCCUCCAAAUCCUCUCAAAAAUAAAACCACACAACCACCAGUCACACCUGAUUCUCAAUCCACCAUUAUAUCCCUUCAAAUCCUCACCAAAUGGAACUAAUUUUGGAUCUAAAGGAAAGUAAAAGAAGAAGAUAAUCUUCCGAAAACUCCAGAUUUUCGUUGAAAGAUUAGGAUUGUAAUUGGUUCUAUCCGUCUGUUCUCAAAGAGAACACACGAUUAGUGCCAAUUUCGGCUCAAAAUCGAGGGUUUUGAAGAUCCUUUCAAGUCCAUUGUCCGUCCAUUAUUUCUAGGUAUUUCUUUGGCCAUUUUUCUUUCUUUCAUUUUUUCGUUUUCAUCUUCUUUUGUUUCUUUCAUUUUCUUUCUUAUUUUUCUGUUUUUCAAAUCAUUUCUGUAUUCCUGUUAGUUUUAGGUUAUUUUUUAGUUAGCAUUUUUGUUAGUUUGUUUGAUUCUGUUGUUUGAUUUCGCUCAAGUUUCCCUCCUAUUUUGUUUUAUCCUUGGCUUCAGAAGUUCAUGUAACUCUGAUUGGCCAUUUUCUUGGGUUUUUGUUAGUUUUUGGAAUCAAUUUGGGCGCUGUCAACAGAGGCCCAAAGCGGGGGUUAGUCUGAAUUUGCAAGCCUAGGUUUUGGGUUGAUUUGUUUGGUCAACUUGACCCAUAUCUGAUUCUGAGGGUAAAUAGCAGAAGCCUAAAGGGUAGUUUAGAAAAUUUAACAAGGGAAAUCUUCAUUAACUGAUUGAAAAACUUCUAGAAAAGUGGGGGAUUGGGACUCACUUAGCAAGCAAACUAGAAAAUUAGGUUCUAAAGUGAACAAAUUUGAAAUUAGGGAAGGGGUAAUGGGUAAAUGGCAGAAUCAUUUUUGCUGCCCUAAGGGCUUUCUAUUAAAGGCACGCUGCCUUCUUUGUCAAAAAAAAGAUUAGAGAUUGAAAAAUCUGAAAAAUUUGAAAUGGCUGAAAGAUAGUUACUCACUAGAAAAAGCUUUGAAAUUAGAAUGAAAGGAGAAAAAUCUCACAAUCACUAUUCCAUUAUAGUUUUGCCUUUUCAUAUCUCUAGGAAGUUUAAAAGUUCAAGCAUACUGCUAUUCUCUUGGGUUCAAACGAUGGCAUUAGUUGUUUAAAUUUGUUGUUUACUGCUGUUCCAAAGUUGCUGCUACUGUUAUUUCCUUGAUGAGAAGUUAUGUUGGUUAUUCUUAUUAUUCCAGGUACUCUUUUGAACUUUAAAUACCAAAUGGAGCUUUGAAUAUGUGUGUAUGCAAGAUAUGAUUCUGUUGAAGUUUAAUAAGGUUCAUUUUGUUUGGUUUUCUUAUUAUUGUGAUUUUUUUGGUUAAUGAAUUUGUUAGUAGAAUAUAUUCAAAAACUCAUGCUGAUGUUAGAAGUCUGUUAGCCUAUUGUUCAUUUAAAUGGGGAGAUGAAUGUUUGUAAGGGUUUUGGGGCUUGCCUGCCAUUUUGAGGGAUGAAUUCCAAGCUCAUGUUGUGUGUAUUUUGGAAAAGAAUCCAUAUGACUACAUGAGCACUGUCCAAAUAGAUUAUAUUAGAAGUCAAAUAUUGUUAUGUGUAUUUGAAUAUAUGCAUUUGGCAAUUCAAUACUUAUUUAAUCCAUGUUAGUAGAUGAAGCCUUUCUGAAAUUAUGUUAGUGUUUUGUUUGAUGUUAUGUUAAAUGAUGAAAUAAUUUGUGGAUGAGCUAUUAUUACAUUAGGAGUUGUAUUUUCAUUAUAGAACGUGAUUUGAUAUCGAAAAUAUGCUUUGCAUUUGUUAAGGACUAUCAAUAUUUGUUUCAUUUC
rnacentral:lncRNA from 1 species